ensembl:misc_RNA Metazoa_SRP Metazoan signal recognition particle RNA
GCUGGGUGUGGUGGCAUGCACCUGUAGUCCUAGCUACUGGGAGACUGAGGCAGGAGGAUUGCUUGAGCCCAGGAGGUUGAGGCUGCAGUGAGCUAUGAUUGUGCCGCUGUACUCUAACCUGGGUGACAGAGUGAGACCCUGUCUCUA